CUACAUCUUCCUCUGAAAUUGGAUGGAGAGGGUCUUGCCUAUUUAAAACUUCACUAAAAUGUUCUACCCAUCUAUUCAGUAUAUCAUUUCUUUCACUUUUCAGUUCUCCUUCUUUACUUUUUACUCCUGUGUGUUGCCUCUUUCUUUCACCUGUUAGGAUUUUAGUGAUGUUAUAAAGUUCUUUGCUUCUGCCAUUUUCUGCUGCUUUUCUGCAUCUUUAGCCAUCAUAUUGUACCACUUCAUUUUGUCCUCUCGGGCACUUUUCUUAACCCCUUUAUUUUUCUGCUUGUAUUCUUCGUUGAGUCUCACUUUUAAUCUUUCCGAUCUAGUUC
rnacentral:lncRNA from 1 species